GACGAACGCUGGCGGCGUGCUUAACACAUGCAAGUCGAACGGAAAGGCCCUGCUUUUGUGGGGUGCUCGAGUGGCGAACGGGUGAGUAACACGUGAGUAACCUGCCCUUGACUUUGGGAUAACUUCAGGAAACUGGGGCUAAUACCGGAUAGGAGCUCCUGCUGCAUGGUGGGGGUUGGAAAGUUUCGGCGGUUGGGGAUGGACUCGCGGCUUAUCAGCUUGUUGGUGGGGUAGUGGCUUACCAAGGCUUUGACGGGUAGCCGGCCUGUGAGGGUGACCGGCCACAUUGGGACUGAGAUACGGCCCAGACUCCUACGGGAGGCAGCAGUGGAGAAUAUUGCACAAUGGGCGGAAGCCUGAUGCAGCAACGCCGCGUGCGGGAUGACGGCCUUCGGGUUGUAAACCGCUUUCGCCUGUGACGAAGCGUGAGUGACGGUAAUGGGUAAAGAAGCACCGGCUAACUACGUG
rnacentral:rRNA from 1 species